rfam:Punctularia strigosozonata HHB-11173 SS5 unplaced genomic scaffold PTNSTscaffold_7, whole genome shotgun sequence.
GGCGCUGUGGCUGAGUGGUUAUAGCGAGAGAUUAGAAAUCUCUUCCGGUUUCCGGGCGUAGGUUCGAAUCCUGCCAGCGUCG